UGAUGCCAGAACUCUGCAGAGCGGGACUAAAUUGAGCCGCUGUGCUGAGAAUGAUUUCAUUUACUACUUCUAACAACCAUACGAUGAAGUAAAAUCAUUUUUCC
rnacentral:lncRNA from 1 species